rnacentral:rRNA from 1 species
AUCCAGCUGCAGGUUCCCCUACAGCUACCUUGUUACGACUUCACACCAUUCACUAAUCUUAUAUUCGGCUUUCUUUUUAGAAACAAAUCAGAUGUCUUUCAUCAAGAGAGAACAAGAUUCGAAAAAAAAAAGAGAAGACUUCCUACACUAUCAAUUCACAGUGUGUGACGGGCGGUGAGUACAAGGCUCAGGUACAAAUUCACCGUAGCGUGCUGAUCUACGAUUACUAGUGAUUCCGGCUUCAUGUUCUCGAGUUGCAGAGAACAAUCUGAACUGGGGUGAGUUUUUUGAGAUUUGCUCCGACUCUCAUCAUUGCUCCUCUUUGUCCUCACCAUUGUAACACGUGUGUAGCCCAGCCCAUAAGGGUCAUGAGGACUUGACGUGAUCCCUCCCUUCCUCUAGUCUAUCACCAGCUGUACUUCCAUUUAAAAACCCAAAAAAAUUGAAUUUUUGAAUGGAAAGAGGGGUUUCGUUCGUUAAGGAAAUUAAUCCAACAUUUCACAACACGAACUGACGACAGCCAUGCAACACCUGUAAUCUUUACUCAAAUAAAUUUUUAUUUGGUUAUCUCAGGAUAACCUGAGAUUGUCGAAAGAUUAUGUCAAGGACUGGUAAGGUUUUGCGCGUUGUUUCGAAUUAAACCACAUGUUCCACCACUUGUGUGAGCCCCCGUCUAUUCCUUUGAGUUUUAGUCUUGCGACCGUACUCCUCAGGCGGACCUUUUUACGCGUUAGCUAAUACAAACGAUAAAACGAUGCACGCAAAUGAGUAAUUUCUUACUCAAGCACUUUUCUUUUUUUAUCUUUUUUUUUAUUCUUUUGUCUCUUUUUUUUUUUAAGAAAAAAAAAGAAUAAAAAAAGAGCAAAAAAAAAAUAAAAAAGAAUCGUGUUGCUCUGUGUAAAGUCUACUAUUUAUAGAAAGGUCAUCGUUGACGGCGUGGACUACAGGGGUAUCUAAUCCCUUUUGAUCCCCACGCUGUCGCACCUCAACGUCAGUGAAGCCCCAGAGAAUUGCCUUCGCUUUUGGUGUUCCUCCUGAUAUCAACAAAUUUUACCUCUACGCCAGGAAUUCCAUUCUCCUCUAGCUCACUCGAGUUUAGGAAUCAUUAAGAUAAGUUUCAAAGUAAAGCUUUGAGUUUUUUAUCCUUGAUUUUCUAAACAGCCUACGUGCGCUUUACGCCCAAUCAUUCCGAAUAACGCUCGCCCCUCUCGUAUUACCGCGGCUGCUGGCACGAAAUUGGCCGGGACUUUUUUCUUAAACUUUGUCAUAAUCUCUGUUUAAGUAAAGGGCUUUACAACCAAGACAGUCUUCAUCACCCACGCGAUCUAGCUGGAUCAGGCUUUCGCCCAUUGUCCAAGAUUCCUCACUGCUGCCGCUCGAAAGCGUCUGGGCCGUGUCUCAGUCCCAGUGUGGCUGAUCAUCCUCUCAGACCAGCUAAGGAUCUUUGGCUUGGUAAGCUUUUACCCUACCAACUACCUAAUCCUACGCAAGCUCAUCUC